rnacentral:rRNA from 1 species
GAUGAACGCUGGCGGCGUGCCUAAUACAUGCAAGUCGAGCGAACAGACGAGGAGCUUGCUCCUCUGACGUUAGCGGCGGACGGGUGAGUAACACGUGGAUAACCUACCUAUAAGACUGGGAUAACUUCGGGAAACGGAGCUAAUACCGGAUAAUAUAUUGAACCGCAUGGUUCAAUAGUGAAAGACGGUUUUGCUGUCACUUAUAGAUGGAUCCGCGCCGCAUUAGCUAGUUGGUAAGGUAACGGCUUACCAAGGCAACGAUGCGUAGCCGACCUGAGAGGGUGAUCGGCCACACUGGAACUGAGACACGGUCCAGACUCCUACGGGAGGCAGCAGUAGGGAAUCUUCCGCAAUGGGCGAAAGCCUGACGGAGCAACGCCGCGUGAGUGAUGAAGGUCUUCGGAUCGUAAAACUCUGUUAUUAGGGAAGAACAAAUGUGUAAGUAACUAUGCACGUCUUGACGGUACCUAAUCAGAAAGCCACGGCUAACUACGUG